GCCUGGCUAGCUCAGUUGUUAGAGCAUGGGACUCUUGAUCUCAGGAUUGUGGGUUUGAGCCACAUGCUGGAUG
rnacentral:tRNA from 1 species